GUGAGCCAGCUGCUCUCCUGUCAUAUGAAGUGUUUAUCCAGCUGUGGGCUGAAUGAUGCUAUGAGAAAUCCAAAAAGAUCACAUCAACUGGCUUCCCCAUAUCAGCUAGGUUGGCUAUCUUGUCAUAAACGGAAAUAACAUUUUACAAGCAGAAAACAGUGCUAAGCAUAGAGCAUCCAGAGUGGAGAUGCAUGGAUGGUUUAGAAACAGAGUGGUUUAGACCACUCAUCUGGUGACUGGUCAUCAUAAAUUGCAAGAUGAGUGGACACACUAAUUGAGAACAUCCAGGCUCAACAUAGGUUUUGACAGCAGCCAGGCUCAGAUCAGGGGAGGUGACUCAAGAGGAUCACUGAGCCAGGACUGAUUGCCCUCUUCCCUCUGGCAGCCCCUGAAGAAGGACCAGCUGUCCAGGAGCCUGCCCAGCCCUCAGGGAUGUGCAGCACCCAUCUGCCAAGAGUGUAAUGCCUCCAGGGUCAGUCUCUAUGGUGGGCUGCAUCUUGGCCUCCAGGCAUGAAUCAAGAUCAGCAAGAGCUGGUGCAUGGGCAGACGCAGAUAUGGCACUCCUCCUUCAGCUCCUGUGUGCUGGGAGCAGGAAACAAGGCAGUGGCAUUGCUGUCAGCACCCUGGAACAACUUCUAAAUCACAGGAGAAUGCCUGGAGAGUAGUGGAGAUCUCACCUGUGGGCCAGACACUUCUGUUUAAUAGGCACCAUUUGUGGCUUUGAUGCGAUUGCGAUAAAAAACCCAGAUGGGACAUAACCUCUAGUUCAUGCCAUUUUUAGCUACUUUUCAUUGCCUAUGGUUUUGCUGAAGGCAUUUGCUAUUCAAAAUUGGUUAUAGAAGAAAUCAGAUGCUACAAAAAAUUUAUGGGAAUUCCUUAUUCCAAACUUCCAACAUUCAGAGUGUAUUAGUAACACUUAAAUAAUCACAAAGCAAUGCACAGAAAGGUUUCUGCUGUCUUGCUGUGUAUGCACAAUUCCUAAAAUAAGAUUUUUGGCUGCAAAUAGCUAUAAUUAUGAAUUUAUAAUUAACUUCAGUAAAAGUUCUAUCAGGAUAAAUUCAAAUUCACUCCUAUUUGAUA